AACGAACGCUGGCGGCAUGCCUAACACAUGCAAGUCGAACGAGACCUUCGGGUCUAGUGGCGCACGGGUGCGUAACGCGUGGGAACCUGCCCUUAGGUUCGGUAUAACUCCCCGAAAGGGGUGCUAAUACCGGAUAAUGUCUUCGGAAAAAAGAUUUAUCGCCUUUGGAUGGGCGCGCGUUGGAUUAGCUAGUUGGUAGGGUAAAAGACUACCAAGGCGACGAUCCAUAGCUGGUCUGAGAGGCUGAUCAGUCACACUGGGACUGGGACACGGUCCAGACGCCUACGUGAGGCAGGAGUGGGGAAUAGUGGACAAUGGGCGAAAGCCUGAUCCAGCAAUGCCGGGUGAGUGAUGAAGUCCUGAGGGUUGUAAAGCUCUGUUACCGGGAUGAUAAUGACGGUACUGGGAGAAUAAGCUCCGGCUAACUCCGUG
rnacentral:rRNA from 1 species